rnacentral:rRNA from 1 species
GAUGAACGCUGGCGGCGUGCCUAAUACAUGCAAGUCGAACGAGGUGCUUUUGUAGCAAUACGAGGGUAUCCUAGUGGCGAACGGGUGAGUAACGCGUUGGUGACCUGCCCCAAAGUGUGGGAUAACAGUCCGAAAGGAUUGCUAAUACCGCAUGUGGUCCCCGGAUUUGGAAACCGGUGACUAAAGCAGUAAUGCGCUUUGGGAGGGACCUGCGUCCCACCAGCUAGUUGGUGAGGUAACGGCCCACCAAGGCGACGACGGGUAGGGGACCUGAGAGGGUGGCCCCCCACAAUGGAACUGAAACACGGUCCAUACACCUACGGGUGGCAGCAGUAGGGAAUAUUGCACAAUGGGCGAAAGCCUGAUGCAGCAACGCCGCGUGUGCGAAGAAGGCCUUCGGGUCGUAAAGCACUUUUCUGGGAGAUGAGAAAGGACAGUAUCCCAGGAAUAAGUCUCGGCUAACUACGUGCCAGCAGCCGCCGUAACAC